GUAGAAUUGGGAUUGGGCCUUAGUCUCGUAAAAAGCUGUACAAAGCCAGACUGAAAAGAAUUAAAAAAGAUCGUUUUUGCAGUUAUGAGAUUUGCUUCUUCGUCAAACUCAUCCACAUCCCUAUCAACAUCAUCAUUGUAGGUGGUUUGGUGCCUGGAUGACUGGCUAUAUGGAGGACAAUUUUUUAAAUAUAUCUUUUGCAAUUUUUAAAUAUAAAAUUUGCAUUUAUAUAUAGUCAUGUUAGUAAAACACGCAUGUGUGAAUUAUGACUGAA